rnacentral:rRNA from 1 species
GGGGUAAAAUUAAUAAAUUAAUUUUAAUAAAAAAAUUUUUAAUAAAAUAUUUUAAAGGGGGGGUUAAAGUAUAUUUAUAGAAAAAAUAAAUUAAUUUAUAGUUAAAUAGUAUUGUAAAAGAAUUUUGAAAUAAUUGAAAAUUAAAUUUUUUUAAAAGUAAUUUUUAUUUAAUGUAUCUUGGGUAUCAGAGUUUAUUAAAAAAAAUUAUUAAAUAAAAAAAUUCUCGAAUUUAAAAGAGAUAAUUAAUUAAUAAAGUUAUUGUAGCAUAAAUAUUUUAAAUAAUUAAUUGGAAAUGAAAUGUUAAUCGUUUUUAAAUAUAUCUAGUUUUUUUAGAAAAAAAUUUAAUUUUAUAUUAUUUAAAAAAAAAAUUAAUUAAUUAAUUUUUUUUUUAAAUAAUAAUAUAUUUUAAGGGAUAAGCUUUAAUUUAAAUUUAUAUAAAUAAAUUGAAAAAUUAAAUUGAAAAUUUUAUAAUUUAUAUUGUUAAAAAAAUUUAAUUUAUUAUAAAUAAUUUCAUUUAAAAUAAAAUUUAAUAAAAUUUUAUAUGGUUUAUAAAAAAAAAAUUUUUAAUAAAAUAAAAUUUGAUAUAAUGAUAAAAUUAGUAUAUAAUAAAAUAUAUAAAUGAAUAAUUUAGUAUAAAUAAUUAAUUAAAAGGAAUUCGGCAAAAAUUUAUAUUCACUUGUUUAUCAAAAACAUGUCUUUUUGAAAAUAAUAUAAAGUCUAAUCUGCCCACUGAUAUAAUAUUAAAGGGCUGCAGUAUAUUGACUGUACAAAGGUAGCAUAAUCAUUAGUCAUUUAAUUGAUGACUUGUAUGAAAGAUUGGAUGAAAUAUAAACUGUCUCUUAAUUAAAUAUAGAAUUUAAUUUUUAAAUUAAAAAGUUUAAAUAAUUUAAAAAGACGAGAAGACCCUAUAGAGUUUUAUAAAUUUAAUGAUUAAGAUUAUUUAUUAAAAAAAAAAAUUAAAAUUAAUAAAUUUAUUUUGUUGGGGUGACAAAAAAAUAUAAAAAACUUUUUUUAAAAUAAAACAUAUAUAAAUGAUUAAAUGAUCCAUUAUUAUUGAUUAUAAGAAAAAAUUACCUUAGGGAUAACAGCGUAAUUUUUUUUUUUAGUUCUUAUAAAAAGAAAAGUUUGCGACCUCGAUGUUGGAUUAAGAUAAAAUUUAAAUGCAGUAGUUUAAAAUUUUUGAUCUGUUCGAUCAUUAAAAUCUUACAUGAUCUGAGUUCAAACCGGUGUAAGCCAGGUUGGUUUCUAUCUUUUAAAAAAUAAAAUAUUUUAGUACGAAAGGAUUAAAUAUUUAAAUUAAAUUUUUUAUUUUGAAUUUUAUUAAAGAUAAUUUAUAAAUUUAUAAUAAAUAAAUUAAUAUAUAUAUAUAUAUAUAUAUAUAUUU